UACAGAGGUCUCAAGCGUUGUUCGGAUUCAUUGGGCGUAAAGGGUGCGUAGGCGGCGCGGUAAGUCGGGUGUGAAAUCUCGGGGCUUAACUCCGAAACUGCAUUCGAUACUGCCGUGCUUGAGGACUGGAGAGGAGACUGGAAUUUACGGUGUAGCGGUGAAAUGCGUAGAUAUCGUAAGGAAGACCAGUGGCGAAGGCGGGUCUCUGGACAGUUUCCUGACGCUGAGGCACGAAGGCCAGGGGGAGCAAAACGGG
rnacentral:rRNA from 1 species